GCAUAUCAAUAAGCGGAGGAAAAGAAACUAACAAGGAUUCCCCUAGUAACUGCGAGUGAAGAGGGAAAAGCUCAAAUUUAAAAUCUGGCAGUUUCACUGUCCGAGUUGUAAUUUAGAGAAGUGUUGCCCGCGUUGGACCGUGUACAAGUCUCCUGGAACGGAGCGUCAUAGAGGGUGAGAAUCCCGUCUUUGACACGGACUACCAAGGCUUUGUGGUACGCUCUCGAAGAGUCGAGUUGUUUGGGAAUGCAGCUCUAAAUGGGUGGUAAAUUCCAUCUAAAGCUAAAUAUUGGCGAGAGACCGAUAGCAAACAAGUACCGUGAGGGAAAGAUGAAAAGAACUUUGGAAAGAGAGUUAAACAGUACGUGAAAUUGUUGAAAGGGAAACGCUUAAAGUCCAGUCGCGUUGGUUAGGAAUCAGCCUUGGUUUUCCUUGGUGCACUUCCUAGUCGACGGGUCAACAUCAGUUUUGACCGUUGGAUAAAGGUCAAGGGAAUGUGGCACCUUCGGGUGUGUUAUAGCCUUUGAUUGUAUACAGCGGUUGGGACUGAGGAACUCAGCACGCCGAAAGGCCGGGUCUUGUACCACGUUCGUGCUUAGGAUGUUGGCAUAAUGGCUUUAAUCGACCCGUCUUGAAACACGGACCAAGGAGUCUAACAUGCCUGCGAGUGUUUGGGUGGAAAACCCGAGCGCGUAAUGAAAGUGAAAGUUGAGAACUCUUAGAGUGCAUCGACGCCCGGAGCAGACCUUUUGUGACGCAUCCGCGGUAGAGCAUGUAUGUUGGGACCCGAAAGAUGGUGAACUAUGCCUGAAUAGGGUGAAGCCAGAGGAAACUCUGGUGGAGGCUCGUAGCGAUUCYSACGWGYAMMYCGAUCGUCGAAUUUGGGUAUAGGGGCGAAAGACUAAUCGAACCAUCUAGUAGCUGGUUCCUGCCGA
rnacentral:rRNA from 1 species